CCUUGUGUACCGAGGUGUGUACAUCAAGGCCCUCUUCGCUCCGCCCGAGGACGUGGGCCUACUUCGGGGAUCGUUUCCGAGUUAGAGCUGUCCUCAGGUCCGCCAGGAGUGCCGAGCCCAGGAGAAAGAGGGCGGGGUUCUUCAUUCUGCGUGUUGAUACUGCCAUAGUGAGCAAGAUCAAUAGCAGCCUGAUGACCUCAUUCUCUGAUUGACUUGGAAUCUAAAAAAGGGCUGUGCCGUUGACCCAGCUUCAACAUGUAGUGCUGGUGACACAACAUAUGGAAGGAAUAUGAGCCCCCGAGAGACUUCAUGGUGCAGAGCUGCGUGUCAGUCUAAACUGGCCAGACUGUUACAUGGCAGAGAAAUAAACUUCUGUCUUAUUUAAGCUACUA